AGCCCAUGAUGAGGACACCAUUGAGGUAAUCCUUUAUAUCUUUCCCAAGCCUCGUACAAUGAUUCAAAAUCUUACUGUAUGAAUGAUGUGAUAUCAUUCCUCAUUUU
rnacentral:snoRNA from 1 species